GCUCGUAGGCGGUUUGUCGCGUCUGCUGUGAAAUCCCGAGNNUNNNNCUCGGGUCUGCAGUGGGUACGGGCAGACUAGAGUGCGGUAGGGGAGAUUGGAAUUCCUGGUGUAGCGGUGGAAUGCGCAGAUAUCAGGAGGAACACCGAUGGCGAAGGCAGAUCUCUGGGCCGUUACUGACGCUGAGGAGCGAAAGGGUGGGGAGCAAACAGGCUUAGAUACCCUGGUAGUCCACCCCGUAAACGUUGGGCGCUAGAUGUGGGGACCAUUCCACGGUUUCCGUGUCGUAGCUAACGCAUUAAGCGCCCCGCCUGGGGAGUACGGCCGCAAGGCUAAAACUCAAAGGAAUUGACGGGGGCCCGCACAAGCGGCGGAGCAUGCGGAUUAAUUCGAUGCAACGCGAAGAACCUUACCAAGGCUUGACAUAUACGAGAACGGGCCAGAAAUGGUCAACUCUUUGGACACUCGUAAACAGGUGGUGCAUGGUUGUCGUCAGCUCGUGUCGUGAGAUGUUGGGUUAAGUCCCGCAACGAGCGCAACCCUCGUUCUAUGUUGCCAGCACGUAAUGGUGGGAACUCAUGGGAUACUGCCGGGGUCAACUCGGAGGAAGGUGGGGACGACGUCAAAUCAUCAUGCCCCUUAUGUCUUGGGCUUCACGCAUGCUACAAUGGCCAGUACAAAGGGCUGCAAUACCGUAAGGUGGAGCGAAUCCCAAAAAGCUGGUCCCAGUUCGGAUUGAGGUCUGCAACUCGACCUCAUGAAGUCGGAGUCGCUAGUAAUCGCAGAUCAGCAACGCUGCGGUGAAUACGUUCCCGGGCCUUGUACACACCGCCCGUCAAGUCAUGAAAGUC
rnacentral:rRNA from 1 species